rnacentral:rRNA from 1 species
AGUGAACGCUGGCGGUAGGCCUAACACAUGCAAGUCGAACGGCAGCACAGUAAGAGCUUGCUCUUACGGGUGGCGAGUGGCGGACGGGUGAGGAAUACAUCGGAAUCUACUUUUUCGUGGGGGAUAACGUAGGGAAACUUACGCUAAUACCGCAUACGACCUACGGGUGAAAGCAGGGGAUCUUCGGACCUUGCGCGAUUGAAUGAGCCGAUGUCGGAUUAGCUAGUUGGCGGGGUAAAGGCCCACCAAGGCGACGAUCCGUAGCUGGUCUGAGAGGAUGAUCAGCCAAACUGGAACUGAGACACGGUCCAGACUCCUACGGGAGGCAGCAGGGGGGAAUAUUGGAAAAGGGGCGCAAGCCUGAUCCAGCCAUACCGCGUGGGUGAAGAAGGCCUUCGGGUUGUAAAGCCUUUUUGUUGGGAAAAAAAAGCAGCAGGUUAAUACCCCGCUGUUCUGACGGUACCAAAAGAAUAAGCACCGGCUAACUUCGU